ACAGACUCUACCAUUGAAUGUAAAUUGAAUAAUAGGGAAUAUGGGAUUGGAGCCGCACUGGAUCAAGAAAAGAACAAAACUCACUGGAUGUGAAACUCUCUUCAGUGCCCAUCCACCUGUGCCAAUCAUCUGUGGUCAUUGCAGCCUCCUGAUUUCCAGCAGAUGGCGCACUGAAUUAGGACCAGUGAUCCAGCAAGUCAUUUUGGAUAAAGCCAC